GAUGAACGCUGGCGGCGUGCCUAAUACAUGCAAGUCGAGCGAACAGACGAGGAGCUUGCUCCUCUGACGUUAGCGGCGGACGGGUGAGUAACACGUGGAUAACCUACCUAUAAGACUGGGAUAACUUCGGGAAACCGGAGCUAAUACCGGAUAAUAUAUUGAACCGCAUGGUUCAAUAGUGAAAGACGGUUUUGCUGUCACUUAUAGAUGGAUCCGCGCCGCAUUAGCUAGUUGGUAAGGUAACGGCUUACCAAGGCAACGAUGCGUAGCCGACCUGAGAGGGUGAUCGGCCACACUGGAAAUGAGACACGGUCCAGACUCCUACGGGAGGCAGCCGUAGGGAAUCUUCCGCAAUGGGCGAAAGCCUGACGGAGCAACGCCGCGUGAGUGAUGAAGGUCUUCGGAUCGUAAAACUCUGUUAUUAGGGAAGAACAAAUGUGUAAGUAACUAUGCACGUCUUGACGGUACCUAAUCAGAAAGCCACGGCUAACUACGUG
rnacentral:rRNA from 1 species